rnacentral:lncRNA from 1 species
UCAUUCAAAUAUUGCCAAUUUGACUUUUUGAAUUGCUCCCCCUUUCAUUUAUAAUUCAUUAAAGAUGAAACUCCAAAAAUUUGAGAUAAAACAUGAGUUUCAGAUUAUGUAUCGAGGUGUGAAAGGUGCGUGCCAAAUUCUGAAAUUCUAUGUGCCAAAUUCUGAAAUUUGAUAGAAAUUUUUGACUUGAUCAUUUUCAUUGUUGCAAAUUGCUCCCCCUUGGAUGUAUAUGCUUUCCUAUAUG